CCUACGGGCGGCAGCAGUGGGGGAUAUUGCACAAUGGGGGGAACCCUGAUGCAGCGACGCCGCGUGGGUGAAGGAGCGUUUCGGCGCGUAAAGCCCUAUCGGCAGGGAAGAAGGAGGACGGUACCUGACUAAGAAGCCCCGGCUAACGACGUGCCAGCAGCCGCGGUAAUACGUAGGGGGCAAGCGUUAUCCGGAUUUACUGGGUGGAAAGGGGGGGCAGACGGCAGCGCAAGCCAGGAGUGGAAGCCCGGGGCCCACCCCCGGGACUGCUCGUGGAACUGCGGGGCUGGAGUACAGGAGGGGCAGGCGGAAUUCCUGGUGUAGCGGUGACAUGCGUAGAUAUCAGGAGGAACACCGGUGGCGAAGGCGGCCUGCUGGACUGCGACUGACGUUGAGGCCCGAAAGCGUGGGGAGCAAACAGGAUUAGAUACCCUAGUAGUC
rnacentral:rRNA from 1 species